AACGGAAGCGAACAAUUCCACAUUCUUCUCAGUAUCUUCCUCUGACCUGGUCUCAAAGUGGUUAGGAGAGAGUGAGAAGUAAGUUGGAGUUGCCAGAGUUCCAGGAAAAU
ensembl:miRNA gga-mir-6698 gga-mir-6698